ensembl:lncRNA
AAUAGGUCUCUUCUUGCAGAGCACCAGAAGUGGACAGCAAUCUCCAUCUCUAGAAAGUCAAUCCAUUACCAGAGCAGCAGCAAACACUCCUACCAUCAAUACACACAAGACACAGAGCACCUCCAUGACCAACGUCCAAAAAAACACCUCAAGUACCCCAGCUUCAACUCCCCACCAUGAGAGAGAGUCCACUGCAGGCUCCUGUGUGUCUACUCACGCCGUGAGCUGUCGGAUGGUAGAGUCGGCCCCGGUGCCCUGUGAGGCCUGUGCUUGUGUUCAGACGGUGUGACAUUGUUAGAAGACCAAAAUUCUGAACUCACAGCAAAACUGAAUUUGCAGACAGAAGCAAAACAGAGGCUUG